rnacentral:rRNA from 1 species
AUGAUGGUUUUUCACAGUGGCGUCGACAAUCUGUUAUUUGGUGAAAUCACACGAAUAGAAGGCGAAAAUGAAGAAUACAUGCUCAAUUGUUUCUGUAUGGUUAAACCUAUUGACAAUGGCGGAUGCUCAGGUUGUACGAAGUACGGGGAGUAUGAUUUGAAGCACCCUGUUCAUGCUGAUAAAUACAAAGGUGGCCACUCUACCCCGGUCAUUCAAUGUCGUGGUAUCAAUCAUAUUCCUUUCUUGCAACCGGAUGUACCUGUAUACAUCCGGAAUAAGCAGGAUUGA